rnacentral:rRNA from 1 species
AACGAACGCUGGCGGCAGGCUUAACACAUGCAAGUCGAGCGCCCCGCAAGGGGAUCGGCAGACGGGUUUGUAACGCGUGGGAACGUACCUUUUGGUUCGGAACAACUCCGGGAAACUGGAGCUAAUACCGGAUAAGCCCUAACGGGGAAAGAUUUAUCGCCGAAAGAUCGGCCCGCGUCUGAUUAGCUAGUUGGUGAGGUAACGGCUCACCAAGGCGACGAUCAGUAGCUGGUCUGAGAGGAUGAUCAGCCACACUGGGACUGAGACACGGCCCAGACUCCUACGGGAGGCAGCAGUGGGGAAUAUUGGACAAUGGGCGCAAGACUGAUCCAGCCAUGCCGCGUGAGUGAUGAAGGACUUAGGGUUGUAAAGCUCUUUUGUCCGGGAAGAUAAUGACUGUACCGGAAGAAUAAGCCCCGGCUAACUUCGUG